rnacentral:tRNA from 1 species
GGGGAAGUAGCUCAGUUGGGAGAGCGCAGCGUUCGCAAUGCUGAGGUCGGGAGUUCGAUCCUCCUCUUCUCCA